AUAUAUGAGAGUUUGAUCAUGGCUCAGGAUGAACGCUGGCGGCGUGCCUAAAACAUGCAAGUCGAAUGGGUUAGACCCAUGGCGAACGGGUGAGUAAUGCACAAGAACUUGCUCCGAAGUUGGGGAUAUCCCCUCGAAAGAGGGAGUAACAUCCAAUAGUCUUUAGGCAGAAAUGGGGAAAAGAAACGAUAUUGCUGACAGUUGCGGCUAAGCGCAUUUGGUGCCCCACAUCAACACUCGAUGCCCUGAUAAGGGAUCUCGACGGCUCGCCUGAGGUCGAGAGGAAGUGACGCACUCCUAGUCAACCCUGUAUCGUUUCAAAAGAACUCCGAGACGAGUCUUCUCGUCUCCCCAUUUCUGCUUAAAGUAAAAAUUUAUUGCUUCGGAAGAGGCUUGUGUCCUAUCAGCUAGUUGGUGAGGUAAUGGCUUACCAAGGCGAUGACGGGUAGUUGGUCUGAGAGGAUGACCAGCCACAGUGGAACUGAGACACGGUCCACACUCCUACGGGAGGCAGCAGUUGGGAAUCGUCGGCAAUGCCCGAAAGGGUGACCGCGCGACGCCGCGUGAAGGAAGAAGGCCUUCGGGUUGUAAACUUCUUUUAUGAGGGAUGAUUAUGACAGUACCUCAAGAAUAAGGGGCUGCUAACUACGUGCCAGCAGCAGCGGUAAUACGUAGGCCCCGAGCGUUAUCCGGAAUUAUUGGGCGUAAAGUGCGCGUAGGUGUUUUUGUAAGUCGGUCGUUAAAUCUCACUGCUUAACAGUGAGACCGCGAGCGAUACUACAAGAAUUGAGUUUUGCAGGGGCUAGCAGAAUUUCUGGAGUAGGGGUGAAAUCCGUUGAUACCAGAAGGAAUACCAAUGGCGAAGGCAGCUAGCUGGGCAAUAACUGACACUGAGAGCGCGAAAGCGUGGGGAGCAAACGGGAUUAGAUACCCCGGUAGUCCACGCCCUAAACUAUGUCUACUAGCAAUAGGAAGAGUCGACCCUUUCUGUUGCGAAGCUAACGCGUCAAGUAGACCGCCUGGGAAGUACGAUCGCAAGAUUAAAACUCAAAUGAAUUGGCGGGGGCUCGCACAAGUGGUGGAGCAUGUGGUUUAAUUCGACACUAAGCGAUAACCUUAUCCCAGAUUUGACAUCUAAGGAAUCCCCAAGAAACUGGGGAGUGCCCGUAAGGGAAUCUUAAGACAGGUAUUGCACGGUCGUCGUCAGUUCGUGGCGUGAGCUGUGAGGUUAAGUCCUUAAACGAACGAAACCCUUGUCCUAUGUUGGAUUUUCAUAGGAGACUGCCCUGGUAACAGGGAGGAAGGUGGGGAUGACGUCAGAUCCGCGUGGUCUUUAUGUCUGGGGCUACACACGUGCUACAAUCCUAUCGACAAUGGGUUGCCAAGUCGCAAGACGGAGCUAAUCCCAUCAAAAGAUAGGUCAGUUCGGAUUGGAGUCUGCAACUCGACUCCAUGAAGCCGGAAUCACUAGUAAUCGUGAAUCAGCAUGUCACGGUGAAUACGUUCUCGAGCCUUGCACACAACAAUAACUGCGCCAGGUAGUGUAAUUUUCAAGGGGGUUAAAAUCCCUCCUAG
rnacentral:rRNA from 1 species